UAUGUCAACCAACUUUCAUUUGAAGAGCUUUAAAGGCAGAGUUAGCCGAAGUAUUCGGCUCGCUGUGUGCUCUAGAGUCUAGAUUAUUCCUUAAUUUUGUACCCAACAAUCAUUUCAAUUAAAGGCCAUGGUGAAUAAACUUCUUAAAUACAAAUUGACAAUGAAAAACAAAACUUGUAGCCUGAAGAUAUUAAUCCUUCUUGACCAUACCUGGAAAGAAGCUUAAGUUUACUUUAGCCGUUUAACCCGGUCAAGACAAGGGUAUAUAAAUCAGAGAGAUUUUGACUAGACCAGUAAAUUUUCUCAAAUGGUUAACUUUAACACAACACUUUUUUAGUUUAUUUUGUGAUAUUUUAUGUGAUGGUUUUUGGCUUCAUCGUUCUGAUAUUUGUCUUUACAUCUGUGCAUUCAUCUUUCAGUGACGAGGAGUUUUACAAUUACGAUGGCCCCUACUCUGUUGGUUAUCAAAAUCAUCGAUACGAGCCAGUCCCUUACUUUCACCAUUACCCUGAAUCUUUCCCACCAUACCCAGUACAAACAUAUCCAGGCUACGGCAAUGUUUAUGGAAAGUAUAAGAUUACACGUAAAAAGAAGACCAAAGCUAAAAAAGGUGUUUUACAUACUAAAAAAGUGCAGAAGUUGUGGAAACUAUCAAAUGACGAGGGUGGAGUAGAACACUUAUAUGAAAGUCCGUAUUACGAAUCAACAAAGAUAAAGUACCAAAAGCCAUGUAAAGAAGAAAAGAAACAUAAAAAGAAAACAAAAUAUCGGAAAUUCAUGGACAAACUGAUGGGCUAAUUUUUAUAUCCAUUUUGGCCAUUUUAUAAUCUCUCAUCCUACACCAGUGCAGAAAAUUCACAACCUUUAAUUGUAUUUUAAAAUUUAUUUGAAACCUACUUCGUGCCUUUGAUCUUACCUCUUCAUUUAUUUGUAUAAUAUUUGUGAAAAAAAAUAAAAAUGUCGAUAAAAAAUA